GCAUAUCAAUAAGCGGAGGAAAAGAAACCAACAGGGAUUACCUUAGUAACGGCGAGUGAAGCGGUAACAGCUCAAAUUUGAAAUCUGGGUCUUUUAGGCUCCGAGUUGUAAUUUGUAGAAGAUGCUUUGGGUGCGGCCCCGGUCUAAGUUCCUUGGAACAGGACGUCAUAGAGGGUGAGAAUCCCGUAUGUGAUCGGUGGCUUGCGCCCGUGUAAAGCUCUUUCGACGAGUCGGGUUGUUUGGGAAUGCAGCUCUAAAUGGGUGGUAAAUUUCAUCUAAAGCUAAAUAUUGGCCAGAGACCGAUAGCGCACAAGUAGAGUGAUCGAAAGAUGAAAAGCACUUUGGAAAGAGAGUUAAACAGUACGUGAAAUUGUUGAAAGGGAAGCGCUUGCAACCAGACUUGCGCGGGGUUGAUCAUCCGGGGUUCUCCCCGGUGCACUCGGCCUCGCUCAGGCCAGCAUCGGUUUUGGUGGUUGGAUAAAGGCCUUGGGAAUGUGACUUCUUUCGGGGAGUGUUAUAGCCCUCGGUGCAAUGCAGCCUACCGGGACCGAGGACCGCGCUUCGGCUAGGAUGCUGGGCUGGCGUAAUGGUUGUAAGCGACCCGUCUUGAAACACGGACCAAGGAGUCUAACAUCUAUGCGAGUGUUUGGGUGUCAAACCCAUACGCGUAAUGAAAGUGAACGGAGGUGAGAACCCUUAAGGGUGCAUCAUCGACCGAUCCUGAUGUCUUCGGAUGGAUUUGAGUAAGAGCAUAGCUGUUGGGACCCGAAAGAUGGUGAACUAUGCCUGAAUAGGGUGAAGCCAGAGGAAACUCUGGUGGAGGCUCGCAGCGGUUCUGACGUGCAAAUCGAUCGUCAAAUUUGGGCAUAGGGGCGAAAGACUAAUCGAACCAUCUAGUAGCUGGUUCCUGCCGAAGUU
rnacentral:rRNA from 1 species